rnacentral:rRNA from 1 species
AUUGAACGCUGGCGGCAUGCUUUACACAUGCAAGUCGAACGGCAGCGCGGGCUUCGGCCUGGCGGCGAGUGGCGAACGGGUGAGUAAUGCAUCGGAACGUGCCCAGUAGUGGGGGAUAGCCCGGCGAAAGCCGGAUUAAUACCGCAUACGACCUGAGGGUGAAAGCGGGGGGCCGAAAGGCCUCGCGCUAUUGGAGCGGCCGAUGUCGGAUUAGCUAGUUGGUGGGGUAAAGGCUUACCAAGGCGACGAUCCGUAGCUGGUCUGAGAGGACGACCAGCCACACUGGGACUGAGACACGGCCCAGACUCCUACGGGAGGCAGCAGUGGGGAAUUUUGGACAAUGGGGGCAACCCUGAUCCAGCCAUGCCGCGUGCGGGAAGAAGGCCUUCGGGUUGUAAACCGCUUUUGUUCGGGAAGAAAUCCUCUGGGCUAAUACCCCGGGGGGAUGACGGUACCGGAAGAAUAAGCACCGGCUAACUACGU